rnacentral:rRNA from 1 species
UACAGAGGGUGCGAGCGUUGUCCGGAAUCACUGGGCGUAAAGGGCGCGUAGGUGGUGACCUAAGCGUGCGGUGAAAGCCCGAGGCUCAACCUCGGGUCGGCCGUGCGAACUGGGUCACUGGAGCAGAAUAGAGGCAGGUGGAAUUCCGGGUGUAGCGGUGGAAUGCGUAGAUAUCAGGAGGAAUCCCGAUGGCGAAGGCAGGUCUCUGGGCUGAACCUGACGCUCUUGCCCGAAAGGGUGGGGGCAAACAGG